UCUGUAUCCUCUCAUGGCAGCUCCUCCCCUGUGGCACAAGCAAGGUCAACUGCGGCUGGAUGAGACUCAAAAAAUGGUGGUCAUCGGGCUGGGCACCGGCUGCUUAUGUGUUGUACGCCUUGGGCGUCCCUGUGCUGGUGAUGAGCGUGAUGGCCGUGCAUUGACCUGCAUCGCCUGUCCGAACUGUGCCGGCCAUGCGUCCGACGACCUCGUCCAUCCCUGAUCACCUCUUCCGCGCAAUCAGCCGCACAUACACAGACAUGCUUGUGCUGUAUUAUACUUGAACUUCAGAGCUUCUGAACUCUCUGAAUCGGUGUGCAUGUUUUUAUAUUGUGUCAUUGCAUAGCUCCACCACUGAAUUUGGAAAUUCAGUCAAUGCUUAAACUUGAUAAAAAAGAGCAAGAAACAGUGACAGAUUAUGUGUGUUUUUCACGGAAGUGAGCUGGGAAUUUAGAUGUUCCUUUUCAUAAUAUUAAGGGCGUCGAUCAUUCAACUA